rnacentral:rRNA from 1 species
GACGGAGGAUGCAAGCGUUAUCCGGAAUGAUUGGGCGUAAAGCGUCCGCAGGUGGCAGUUCAAGUCUGCUGUCAAAGACCGGGGCUUAACUUCGGAAAGGCAGUGGAAACUGAACAGCUAGAGUAUGGUAGGGGCAGAGGGAAUUCCUGGUGUAGCGGUGAAAUGCGUAGAGAUCAGGAGGAACACCGGUGGCGAAGGCGGAUCUCUGGGCCAUUACUGACGCUGAGGAGCGAAAGCGUGGGGAGCGAACAGG